rnacentral:lncRNA from 1 species
GGGAAUUUGAAAGAAAGCAGGUCUUGAAAUUUGUUUAUAUUCUAUAGAUCUAAAACUUGUUUUGAUUAAAACAUGUAAAAGACUAUUUAUUGACCUCACUUUGAAUUUGUGUUAUCCGAAUUUUUGAAAUCAAUGUUUAUAGUUGAAUUGUCUUUCAGAAAUGGUCUACCAGUAUUUGACACGAGAGGGCCUAGGUACAGUAGGACUAGCUUUCUUGCAUGUAUGUCAGAGGGAUGACCCUAGUAAAAAGGUCUGACAUUCCAUACCUGAUAAUGAAAGAAAACACCAGAAACUAUUUACUGAGGUGAUUUUAAAUAAACUAAAUGGGAUUUCAUAUAUGAACAUAAUUAGUCCCUGAUUCAUAAAAUUGUACAGUAUAUUUAAAGUACAAUAAAAAUUAAAUCACUUAGUCUAGUGUUUUAUUUAUACUACUAGUACUUUUAAAAUUGGUGAUUAUUAAAGAAAGACAACUCUUACUUCCAACAUUUCUGGACAAAAUGUUACUUGAAUCAGUGAUUUAAGAUCACCCAUUUCAGUCUAACUGAUAUAUACAAGUAUGUACAAGUAUUUAUAUACAUGUAUAAACUUGUAAGGUUAAAAAAAUAAGCUAGUUUUCGAUUUUACCUGUAUAAGAAUGAUUUUUUUGUGGAUCGAAUCAGUCAAUCUAAUGAUUUACCUUUAUUUCACUUUCAAUGUUGACAUUCUUUUCUAAUAACUGAUUAAUAGCCUAACACACAUCAACCAUGCAUAAUCCAUUUCUAGCUAAGGGUUUAAUUGAAGAUCACAUGAAUAGGGAUUCAAUGAGGUUGAAUUAUUCACUUGCAAGUAUCUUAACUCAUCAUCAGUGUUUAUUAGCUUAAUCACAAGUCAGAAAUAUGAAAUUUUACCUCUGCCAAAUGAUAAAUCACAAGUCAGCAUUUUUUUUUAAUUGCUGCAUUAAAAAUAUCAGAAAAAUACCAUGACAUAUAACAAGAAGAGAUAUAUAUACAAAAAUGUAUAAAAACUAGAAGGGGAUUUUUUUCCAUGCCACAUUAAUGGACAUGAUGUAUGCAUAAUUUUUUGUUUUACAUACAUUGUACAACAACAUGUAUAUAUGUACAAUAAUAUUUACUUUUUUCUUUCAGGAACAAUGAUAAACAAGUGAACUGAUGGUUUAAAACUACCAAGAUGUGAAGUAAUGAACUAAAGAGUAACGUGAAGUCAGACAAUACAACUUGAGGUGUCAGAAUUUGUGCAAAAUUUUUGUUAUUUGCAGAUAUAUGGAUGGAUUUUGUCAAAAUAUGAACUGAAACACUGGGAUAAAAUUAUGUUUUUUUUUUCGUAUAAAAGAUCCGGUUGUGUUCCAUAAAUGUAUUUCUAAAAAAUAAUGAAUUUAAGAAUU